rnacentral:rRNA from 1 species
GUCUAUGGCCAUGCCACCCUGAACGCGCCAGAUCUCGUCUGAUCUCGGAAGCUAAGCAGGGUCAGGCCUGGUUAAUACUUGGACCUCAAAAGACCAGGUGCUGUAGGCG